UAAAAAUGUCACCACAUUAUUUUGGUUGUUUUAUAAUUUUGAAAUAUUUUUAUGAAUAAUUUAUUCUAUUUUUUUUCUUCCAAAAAUGAACAAAUUCUAUUUUGUUUGCAUUUCGGCAUGUUAAUCUGCCUGCAUUUUURGCGCUUUCCUGAGUUUGAGAUGGGAGCAGUUGAGGCGAAACGGAACAUUUGUUUGGGGGGCGUUGGUUUUGGGGCGGACUUCCGGUUUGCCUCGCGCAAUCUGAAUGCUUACGGCAGCACUUCGGUCGUCAUUGCUGAUUCCUAUUUUAUUAUCCUUCAGCAUGCUGGUUGGCAGGAUCGACGCAGGCGUCCGUCCAGAAACUAAAAAGUAGAUCGCUCCAAACGAGACCCUCCCCACAAGCUGCAAACCACGGCCAAAAGGUUUCUGCCUGCCUGGUCCAAAACAAAGACAAAAACAAAGCACUCAGAAUUAAUUUGACAAUCAUCCAGUGGAAGGAAAGUGAAACAUUUACAUGAAAACCAGUUUCCCGUGACAAAGUGUAGACGCAUUUGCACCCAGGAAGAAAACAGCAGUUUUUCUGGUAUCA